GAUGAAGAACGUAGCGAAAUGCGAUAAGUAAUGUGAAUUGCAGAAUUCAGUGAAUCAUCGAAUCUUUGAACGCACAUUGCGCCCGCCAGUAUUCUGGCGGGCAUGCCUGUUCGAGCGUCAUUUCAACCAUCAAGCCCCAGGCUUGUGUUGGGGACCUGCGGCUGCCGCAGGCCCUGAAAACCAGUGGCGGGCUCGCUGUCACACCGGGCGUAGUAGAUUUUAUCUCGCUCAUGGCGUGCUGCGGGUUCCGGCCGUUAAAAAGCCUUUUUUACCCAAGGUUGACCUCGGAUCAGGUAGGAAGACCCGCUGAACUUAAGCAUAUCAAUAAGCGGAGGA
rnacentral:misc_RNA from 1 species